UACAGAGGUCUCAAGCGUUGUUCGGAUUCAUUGGGCGUAAAGGGUGUGUAGGUGGCGCCGUAAGUCGGGUGUGAAAUUUCGGAGCUUAACUCCGAAACUGCAUUCGAUACUGCCGUGCUUGAGGACUGGAGAGGAGACUGGAAUUUACGGUGUAGCAGUGAAAUGCGUAGAUAUCGUAAGGAAGACCAGUGGCGAAGGCGGGUCUCUAGACAGUUCCUGACGCUGAAGUACGAAGGCCAGGGGAGCAAACGGG
rnacentral:rRNA from 1 species